rnacentral:rRNA from 1 species
UACGAAGGGGGCUAGCGUUGCUCGGAAUUACUGGGCGUAAAGCGCACGUAGGCGGUCUUUAAGUCGGGGUGAAAUCCUGGAGCUCAACUCCAGAACUGCCUUCGAUACUGGAAGACUCGAGUCCGGGAGAGGUGGAGUGGAACUGCGAGUGUAGAGGUGAAAUUCGGUAGAUAUUCGCAAGAACACCAGUGGCGAAGGCGGCUCACUGG